AUGUCAGACUCUCAUGUUUGUGCCAUCUGCGGUAUGGAAGAUAGCUGGCGACACUCCUUGUUGGACUGCACCUUAUCUCAGAGCGUUUGGGCAUUGUCAAACGAGGAGCUAGUACAACACAUGUGUAUGAAUAAAGAUGAAGAUGCCAAGGCCUGGUUAUUUGCCAUGAGCGACUCAAUCUCACAGAAGGAAUUCGCCAUUCUUAUCACUACCCUAUGGGCCAUCUGGUAUGCACGUCGGAAAGUUAUCCAUGAGGGAAUCCUGCAGACACCCUUUGCAACACAUGCAUUCAUAAAUAGAUUCCUGGCUGACCUUGAGUGCACGGCCUCUCCACCGCCUGCUGCUCGAGAGGCAACUCCACUACGACCUAGGGGCUGGUUACCACCCCCAGAGGAUCAUGCAAAGAUUAACUCGGAUGCUGCAGUUUCAAGGUCGGGCCGUUUUGGUGCGGUUGGGGCGAUUUGCCGGGAUGAAGCAGGAAUCUUCCAAGGAGCGUCACCUGUUGUGUUUGGGAGCAUUGAAGAUCCGGAGGUGCUUGAGGUUCUUGGCAUCCGAGAAGCCUUAGCUCUAGCUAAUGAUCUAUACAUCCAAAAGGUGUCGAUUGCAUCCGAUUGCCAAGCCGCGGCGGAGGCAAUUGGGAAAGGUACCUCAUCUGAAUAUGGGGCAGUGGUGAUGGAGAUUAAUUAG
rnacentral:rRNA from 1 species